CCCUUAGAUGUUCUGGGCCGCACGCGUGCUACACUGACCGGCGCAACAAGUUUCUUUCCUUGGCUCGAUAGGCCUGGGUAAUCUUUGAACGCCGGUCGUGAUGGGGAUAGAUCCUUGCAAUUUUUGAUCUUCAACGAGGAAUUCCUAGUAAAUGCGAGUCAUCAUCUCGCGUUGAUUACGUCCCUGCCCUUUGUACACACCGCCCGUCACACCUACCGAUUGAAUGGUCCGGUGAAGCCUCGGGAUUGCGAAUGCUUCGUGCGGACGCGAGAACUUGGCUAAACCUUACCAUUUAGAGGAAGGUGAAGUCGUAACA
rnacentral:rRNA from 1 species